UACANGGAUUCCCCUAGUAGCGGCGAGCGAAGCGGGAAGAGCUCAAAUUUAUAAUCUGGCACCUUCGGUGUCCGAGUUGUAAUCUCUAGAAAUGUUUUCCGCGUUGGACCGCACACAAGUCUGUUGGAAUACAGCGGCAUAGUGGUGAGACCCCCGUAUAUGGUGCGGACGCCCAGCGCUUUGUGAUACAUUUUCGAAGAGUCGAGUUGUUUGGGAAUGCAGCUCAAAUUGGGUGGUAAAUUCCAUCUAAAGCUAAAUAUUGGCGAGAGACCGAUAGCGAACAAGUACCGUGAGGGAAAGAUGAAAAGCACUUUGGAAAGAGAGUUAACAGUACGUGAAAUUGUUGGAAGGGAAACGCUUGAAGUCAGACUUGCUUGCCGAGCAAUCGGUUUGCAGGCCAGCAUCAGUUUUCCGGGAUGGAUAAUGGUAGAGAGAAGGUAGCAGUUUCGGCUGUGUUAUAGCUCUCUGCUGGAUACAUCUUGGGGGACUGAGGAACGCAGUGUGCCUUUGGCGGGGGUUUCGACCUCUUCACACUUAGGAUGCUGGUGGAAUGGCUUUAAACGACCCGUCUGGAAACCACGGACCA
rnacentral:rRNA from 1 species